UACUAUAUGAGUGAACUAUCACCCUCUGAAUAUGAUAGGAAAGAAAGCAUGAGCCAAAAUGAGCAACUAUCCUGGUCUGGUCCAUAUUAAAGAUACAGUUGUUCUAGCUGUGAAGACAAUAAAAGGAAACUACCUCAUCCAUAUGUUAGGGAAUGAUUUCCUUGUUGGAUGAUCUGGGCAUGCUCCAAAAGUUCCUCAUGUUAGUUUAAGAGGCCUGCCCAUGCCAGCUCAGUUACACUUGUAUGUAACUAUUUUGUUGUAUUUAUUCAUUUUACAUUUCUUUUUAAUAUAAAUGUUUAUAUUUUUAUUAUAUAAUCUCCUUAAGGGUAGUGAUUUUUCUUUCUUUUGAUGUGUAUCUCCAGUAUCUAACACAAUGCCUAGCUAUUCAAUGUUUAAUAAAUGCUUGUUGCUUGGUUUUUCCUACUAAACAGAUCAGGACUUUAUUUCUCGUAUUCUCCUCCAGGUUUAUUGUAUGCUGAGAAGGAAAGAUCCAAGAUAGCAGAAUGGUAGGAAGCAGUGCAAAGAAUUCUCCUCCACAACUUCCUCCAAACAGAUCUAGAAAAUGCACCAGUUUGAAUUCUGACAUUCUGAAUUCAGAAAAAGUCAUGUACUAUCAGCAUUCUGAAAGUAUGAACAUAAAGAAUUGCUCAAAAGCAACAAAAGCUUCUCUCCAGCCAUGAUGAAGGAAAAAUAGUAGCUACUCUUCUAAGAUACAGUUGCUUCUCUCAAACUUUCAGUAUAAACCAUUCACAAUUAAAACGUAUAUUUCCACAAUGUUCCAUUUUACUCUUGAAACUACAGUGACAAUAAUCACACUCUUUGUAAGAUAAACUUUUCAAAGUUUUUUUUAAGUUAUCUGAUUUAUAAAUGCCAUUGGGGAAAAUUGUUAAAAUGUUCAUGUAGCACUUGUAUUACACAUAUUAAGUAUUAAGCAUGUCUAUUCUAUACAUAACAAAUAUUUGCUAUUUGAAGGUCUUAUAUGGAAGAAGGUUGACAAUCAUUUGUGGAUGAUAUAAUUGUUUCAACUUUUUAAACAUUUAAAAUAAUCAAAGUAUAUUACUUUUAAAGGUAUUUCUGUUUGGGAGUAUUAGGUGUUCUAUUUAUAUAAGAUUAAAGUCAAGAAAACAACUGAAGUAUAAUAUCCUUUUGGAGGCUUGUUGAAGUGCUAAAGAAGGUAAAGAAAAUGUAAAAGUUAACAUGGAGGAUUAAACCUCACUUGACUUGAAAUCUUCAAAGGCAAAUAAUUAAAGGUGAAAUUUUUUUUAAUCCAAUCCCCCCAAAAGAAUUCUAGAUCUGUCAAACUCCAAUACAUUUCACAUAUAUCAAUAAAUCAUUUAUGAAAGCUUUGGAUAAAUAA